GGCCAGCAUGGUAUAGUGGUUUGAGUACUGGACUAUGACUCUGGAAACCAGGGUUCAAAUCCUGGCUUGGCCA